UUUUGCUUGUGAUCUUGAGAAGGCUGGGCAAUGCUUAUUGGUCAAUAGGCUGCUCCUAGUGAGCUUACUUUCUGCCUUUACAGUCCCUGCUGUGUAUUUAUUGUCUUCGCGUCUGUUGCAGUUUCUGGUGUGGCAGAGACCCCCCAGGGUUAGCACUCUGUCAACAGAGUUGCGGUAAGCAAGGUUUAGAACGGGGGAAAUCCUAGGUAAGUUGACAGUAACCUCAAAUUAGAAUAUCCAAGUUUUAAAAAAAAAAAUAGGCUUAAAAAGAUGUGUGAGGCAUACUAUUACUUACGGCUGGGGAUGAAACGGGUUGUUUUUUGCAAUCCUGAUUGGAAUGGAAUGAAUGGUUUUUUGUUUUUUUUUAAGACCUUGUUUGAGAAAUGGAGAAAGCUAAAAACACUGAGGGUUGGUGGCGGCUCUUCAAAGGCCCCUGGAAGAUGUGUCCUCAUUCCCUGACCAGAAGUUGGAGGAAGAGGCCUCAGGGAGAUUGCUACUCUACAAGGAUGUUCGGUGUGAUGACUGGAGAGCAAAGUGCUCCGUGGCUGCACGUGCUACCUUUGAAGGUGCAGUUACAGAUUUAGGUUAUGUUCCCCAAGAUGCCUGGGGUUCAGUGAUUCACUACUAGAAAAGGACUUCUGCAACCCAAGGAAGCUAUUUUUGUGUUACACUGAAGGAGAAUCCAAAGCAGGCUCCAGGCUCUAAG